AACACGAACAGAUGGUCAACAACACGAACAGAUGGUCAACAACACUAACAGAUGGUCAACAACACGAACAGACUGUCAACAACACUAACAGAUGGUCAACAACACGAACAGAUGGUCAACAACACGAACAGAUGGUCAACAACACGAACAGAUGGUCAACAACACGAACAGAUGGUCAACAACACGAACAGAUGGUCAACAACACGAACAGAUGGUCAACAACACUAACAGAUGGUCAACAACACUAACAGAUGGUCAACAACACUAACAGAUGGUCAACAACACGAACAGAUGGUCAACAACACGAACAGAUGGUCAACAACACUAACAGAUGGUCAACAACACUAACCCACCAGUCAACACAAAGCACUGGUGGUCUCAUACGGGCAAAUCAACUUAAAUUUAGCAAUAUUUUAUAUUUGAGAUUCUUCAAAGUAGCUACCCUUUGCCUUGGUGACAGCUUUGCACACUCUUGGCAUUCUCUCAACCAGCUUCACGAGGUAGUCACCUGGAAUGCAUUUCAAUUAACAGGUGUGCCUUAAGUUAAUUUGUGGAAUUUCUUUCCUUCUUAAUGCGUUUGAGCCAAUCGGUUGUGUUGUGACAAGGUAGGGGUGGUAUACGGAGGAGGAGGUGUGAUGGUGCUUUGCUGGUGACACUGUUUGUGAUAUAUUUAGAAUUCAAGGCACACUUAACCAGCAUGGCUACCACAGCGAUACUCCAUCACAUCUGGUUUGGGCUUCAACAGGGCAAUGACCCAAUACACCUCCAGGCUGUGCAAUGGCCAUUUUACCAAGAAGGAGAGUGGUGGAGUGCUGCAUCAGAUGACCUGGCCUCCACAAUCACCUGACCUUAACCCAAUUGAGAUGGUUUGGGAUGAGUUGGACCGCAGAGUGAAGGAAAAGCAGCCAACAAGUGCUCAGCAUAUGUGGGAACUCCUUCAAAACUGUUGGAAAAGCAUUCCAGGUGAAGCUGGUUGAGAGAAUACCAAGAGUGUGCAAAGCUGUCAUCAAGGCAAAGAGUGGCUACUUUGAAGAACUUAAAAUAUCAAAUAUAUUUUGAUUUGUUUAACACUUUUUUGGUUACUACAUGAUUCCAUAUGUGUUAUUUCAUAGUGUUGAUGUCUUCACUAUUAUUCUACAAUGUAGAAAACACCAUAAGGGUUGAGCAGUGAUAACAGCCUGUCUUUAUAGGAGGCGACCCACCAUAAGGGCUGAGCAGUGAUAACGGCCUGUCUUUAUAGGAGGCGAC
rnacentral:lncRNA from 1 species